GCCAAGCAGCCGCGGUAAUUCCAGCUCCAAUAGCGUAUAUUAAAGUUGUUGUGGUUAAAAAGCUCGUAGUUGGAUCUCAACAGCCUUGAAGCGGUUAACUUUGUAGUUUUACUGCUUUAUAGGCUGUGCUUUUGCUGGAGGUUUAGGGGUGCUCUUGAUCGAGUGUCUCUGGAUGCCAGCAGGUUUACUUUGAAAAAAUUAGAGUGCUCAAAGCAGGCUAAAAUGCCUGAAUAUUCGUGCAUGGAAUAAUAGAAUAGGAUGUCGAUCCUAUUUUGUUGGUUUUCGGGACUCGACAUAAUGAUAAAUAGGGACAGUCGGGGGCAUUUGUAUUCAAACGACAGAGGUGAAAUUCUUGGACCGUUUGAAGACAAACUACUGCGAAAGCAUUUGCCAAGAAUGUUUUCAUUAAUCAAGAACGAAAGUUAGAGGUUCGAAGGCGAUUAGAUACCGCCCUAGUUCUAACCAUAAACGAUGCCAGCUAGCGAUCUGCCUGCGUUUUUACUGUAGACUGGGCAGGAAGCUUCCGGGAAACCAAAGCAUUUGGGUUCCAGGGGAAGUAUGGUUGCAAAGCUGAAACUUAAAGGAAUUGACGGAAGGGCACCACCAGGAGUGGAGCCUGUGGCUUAAUUUGACUCAACACGGGAAAUCUCACCAGGCCCGGACACUGGAAGGAUUGACAGAUUGAUAGCUCUUUCUUGAUUCGGUGGGUGGUGGUGCAUGGCCGUUCUUAGUUGGUGGAGUGAUUUGUCUGGUUAAUUCCGAUAACGAACGAGACUCUGUCCUGCUAAAUAGUUUCUACUUCUCUUUUGAGUAGAAAUUUCUUCUUAGAGGGACUGGUGACUCUUAGUCACACGAGAUUGAGCAAUAACAGGUCUGUGAU
rnacentral:rRNA from 1 species